GAAACAUUAUGAAGUAUACUUUGUAGUAGUUUGAUAUAAUCUAAUAAAUCAAAUAAAUCUAUAGUCACUUUUGUAGAAGCUUAGAAGUAAUAUAAGAUUACCUGACAUCGGACAAUGAUUGAAAAUUCUUAACUAAUGUACUGUGUUAAAGAGAGAAAAGGCAUGUGCCUACACGAAAGAAUAAAUUAUAGUGGAUAUUUGCUAUAAAUAUUCUAUUACACAAAUGGCAUGCAUAUAGUCACGCCUGAAUAUAGUUUUAACACUAGUGUAGAUGACGAGCACAGCUUGGAUCGCCUGCGGAGAUGAAGCGUUGCCAUUGCAAUCGGCAUCAAGCACCAUAGGGUGUGCAAUCAGCAACAAGCACGCAACAAGUACCAUAGGAAAGUAGUCUGCAAUAUGAAGAGUGAAACUGAGAGUAUGAAAAAAAUACCGACGUUUAGAUGGAUAGGAAUGCAAAAUAAAUGUUGGGUGGACCAUUUUUCUUAUCAAGGACAAUCACAUGGGACUUACUACUGCGCUUUCUUGUUUCCUCCAGCUGCUUUCCCACCACUAUUGUUCCUUAAGUUCCAGACACCCAUGUUUAGCGAAAGAGGAUCAUUGUACCUGCUUACUUCAUAGCAUAAAUAAACAAGCGAUGGGAAGAACAACCCGUCUUUGAUUUUAGGUGGGUGAAAGGAUCACUGCCAUCCUCAGUAGCAGCCAGAGAAGCAUCGGCAUCGACAUCCUAGUAUAAGAUAUAGCAAUCUAGUUAAAUGGAAAAGAGGUGAUGCAUACAUCAAACAAUAUUUUCAGCAAUGAAUGCAUAAUUUAAAAUAUAUAUAUAAGUUCCAGAUUAUUUAGUUCUUAUGAUGCACUUGUCAUUCUGUUACUAAUAUUUUCAGCAAUCCAUGUGAACCAUUGCUCAGUUCUUUGGCAAACCACAACAUUGUAAUGCGGUGUGAUCAAAUUAUAUUUUGGCAUCACUAUUUUUUCUUUCUAAUCCAUGCGAACAUUGCCAUCAGUUGUGUUUGUAAAUGACUGGUAUUCCUCUGAACUAAAUAAAUGUGUGAAUAAGAAAAAAUAAAUAAGCAAUAAUCCAUUUUUGGGGUAAUAUAGGGAGUUGUUGAUAUAGGAAACUACAAACAGAAAAACGGCUUCAUCAGGACGAUAUGUAUUAAACCUUCAAACGGUGAGCAAUUUAUGAGAGCAUAUCUCCCUCUGAUUUAUGAAAUUAUUCUUUCUUAUAAUUGGGGCAUCUGUCCAAUAAUUUCUCUCCAGCCGGUGUACAGUAACUAUGGGGCGAAAUUUCUACAUACUAAAGGUUUUGUAUGCCCUAAACCUGACAUGAUGCUUGCUCCAAUAUGCCAUCUCUACCUGGAUGAUACAAUAAAUAUGUGCUUGUUAGUAUAAUAAAUUGCCUACUCAUCAGGCCAGUGUAAGGUAGGUUGGAUUGUAGGCUGAGAAGUACCAAAUCGAGGAAGACCAGAGUUGGGCAAGGCUAAAGAUUGAGGAAUACCAUGAGGAUGUAGCAUAUAAGAAUGCAUCCGAGCCAUCUGCCCAGGAGGAACAAAACCAUUAGUCCUAAUAGUGAUGGAACAAUAGGUACAACGUUAGCAUUAUUUCCCUCAAGAAAUAUAACCAAAGUGCGCUUGGGAAUUAUUCAUAAGGAAUAAAAUAGAACAAUCAACACAACCAAUAUGAUAAUCUAAGCAUAAAAGGACCAUAUAUAUGAGUUGCAUUCCUCUAUGUAACACUACAAACUCAGAAUGCAGCAAACAAUCUAAUGAUCAUAAUAGCAUAUGUGCAAUUUAAGGCUUUCACUCGUUUGAACAAAUGAGACAUCAAACAAGUAUACAGAAUUUAUUUCUCUAUCCAGCAACUCAG
rnacentral:lncRNA from 1 species